rnacentral:rRNA from 1 species
GACGAACGCUGGCGGCGUGCCUAAUACAUGCAAGUCGAACGCAGUGGGGACGGGUGAGUAACACGUGGCUAACCUCCCAUCAGAGGGGAUAACACUUGGAAAAAGGUGCUAAACCGAUACUGAUGGAUGGACCCGCUGUGCAUUAGCUAGGUGGGGAGGUAACGGCUCACCAAGGCCACGAUGCAUAGCCGACCUGAUAGGGUGAUCGGCCACACUGGGACUGAGACACGGCCCAGACUCCUACGGGAGGCAGCAGUAGGGAAUCUUCGGCAAUGGACGAAAGUCUGACCGAGCAACGCCGCGUGAGUGAAGAAGGUUUUCGGAUCGUAAAACUCUGUUGUUAGAGAAGCGGGAUAUAAACAGAAAGCAACGGCUAACUCCGUGCCAGCAGCCGCGGUAAUAC